rnacentral:rRNA from 1 species
AUUGAACGCUGGCGGCAGGCCUAACACAUGCAAGUCGAACGAGUGGCGGACGGGUGAGUCAUGUCUGGGAAACUGCCUGAUGGAGGGGGAUAACUACUGGACACGGUAGCUAAUACCGCAUACCAUCGGAUGUGCCCAGAUGGGAUGAGCUAGUGGGUGGGGUAACGGCUCACCUAGGCGACGAUCCCUAGCGGGGCUGAGAGGAUGCCCAGCCACACUGGAACUGAGACACGGUCCAGACGCCUACGGGAGGCAGCAGUGGGGAAUAUUGCACAAUGGGCGAAAGCCUGAUGCAGCCAUGCCGCGUGUAGGAAGAAGGACUUCGGGUUGUAAAGUACUUGCAGCGGGGAGGCGUUACUCGCAGAAUAAGCACCGGCUAACUCCGUGCCAGCAGCCGCGGUAAUUC